AUGAACGCUGGCGGCGUGCCUAAUACCUGCAAGUCGAGCGAACAGACGAGGAGCUUGCUCCUUCGACGUUAGCGGCGGACGGGUGAGUAACACGUAGGUAACCUACCUAUAAGACUGGGAUAACUUCGGGAAACCGGAGCUAAUACCGGAUAAUAUUUCGAACCGCAUGGUUCGAUAGUGAAAGAUGGCUUUGCUAUCACUUAUAGAUGGACCUGCGCCGUAUUAGCUAGUUGGUAAGGUAACGGCUUACCAAGGCAACGAUACGUAGCCGACCUGAGAGGGUGAUCGGCCACACUGGAACUGAGACACGGUCCAGACUCCUACGGGAGGCAGCAGUAGGGAAUCUUCCGCAAUGGGCGAAAGCCUGACGGAGCAACGCCGCGUGAGUGAUGAAGGUCUUCGGAUCGUAAAACUCUGUUAUUAGGGAAGAACAAACGUGUAAGUAACUGUGCACGUCUUGACGGUACCUAAUCAGAAAGCCACGGCUAACUACGU
rnacentral:rRNA from 1 species